rnacentral:rRNA from 1 species
CGCGGCCUAUCAGCUUGUUGGUGGGGUGAUGGCCUACCAAGGCGACGACGGGUAGCCGGCCUGAGAGGGUGUCCGGCCACACUGGGACUGAGAUACGGCCCAGACUCCUACGGGAGGCAGCAGUGGGGAAUAUUGCACAAUGGGCGCAAGCCUGAUGCAGCGACGCCGCGUGGGGGAUGACGGCCUUCGGGUUGUAAACCUCUUUCACCAUCGGCGAAGCCCGUAGCUUUUGUUGUGGGUGACGGUAGGUGGAGAAGAAGCACCGGCCAACUACGUGCCAGCAGCCGCGGUAAUACGUAGGGUGCGAGCGUUGUCCGGAAUUACUGGGCGUAAAGAGCUCGUAGGUGGUUUGUCGCGUUGUCCGUGAAAUUCCCUGGCUUAACUGGGGGCGUGCGGGCGAUACGGGCAGACUGGAGUACUGCAGGGGAGACUGGAAUUCCUGGUGUAGCGGUGGAAUGCGCAGAUAUCAGGAGGAACUCCGGUGGCGAAGGCGGGUCUCUGGGCAGUAACUGACGCUGAGGAGCGAAAGCGUGGGGAGCGAACAGGAUUAGAUACCCUGGUAGUCCACGCCGUAAACGGUGGGUACUAGGUGUGGGUUUCCUUCCUUGGGAUCCGUGCCGUAGCUAACGCAUUAAGUACCCCGCCUGGGGAGUACGG